UACGGAGGAUGCAAGCGUUAUCCGGAAUGAUUGGGCGUAAAGGGUCCGCAGGUGGCAGUGUAAGUCUGCUGUCAAAGAAUGAGGCUUAACCUUAUCAAGGCAGUGGAAACUACACAGCUAGAGUACGGUCGGGGUAGAAGGAAUUCCUGGUGUAGCGGUGAAAUGCGUAGAGAUCAGGAGGAACACCGAUGGCGAAGGCAGGUCUCUGGGCCGUAACUGACGCUGAGGAGCGAAAGCAUGGGGAGCGAACAGG
rnacentral:rRNA from 1 species